GAUGAACGCCAGCUACAGGCUUAACACAUGCAAGUCGAGGGGUAACAAGAGGAAAGCUUGCUUUUCUUGUUGACGACCGGCGCACGGGUGAGUAACGCGUAUCCAACCUGCCUAUAACUAGGGAAUAACCUUGCGAAAGUAAGACUAAUACCCUAUGAUUUCCUUUGAUGACAUCAGAUUAGGAAUAAAGAUUUAUCGGUUAUAGAUGGGGAUGCGUCUGAUUAGCUUGUUGGCGGGGUAACGGCCCACCAAGGCAACGAUCAGUAGGGGUUCUGAGAGGAAGGUCCCCCACAUUGGAACUGAGACACGGUCCAAACUCCUACGGGAGGCAGCAGUGAGGAAUAUUGGUCAAUGGGCGGAAGCCUGAACCAGCCAAGUAGCGUGCAGGAUGACGGCCCUAUGGGUUGUAAACUGCUUUUAUACAGGAAUAAAGUUAGCCACGUGUGGUUAUUUGUAGGUACUGUAUGAAUAAGGACCGGCUAAUUCCGUGCCAGCCGCCGCGGUAACAC
rnacentral:rRNA from 1 species